rnacentral:rRNA from 1 species
UACAGAGGUGGCGAGCGUUGUUCGGAUUUACUGGGCGUAAAGGGUGCGUAGGUGGUUUUGUGUGUCGGAUGUGAAAUCUCACUGCUCAACGGUGAAAUGGCAUUCGAAACUGCAGGACUGGAGUGCAGGAGAGGAGAGCGGAAUACUUGGUGUAGCGGUGGAAUGCGUUGAUAUCAAGUAGAACACCGGUGGCGUAGGCGGCUCUCUGGAAUGCAACUGACACUGAGGCACGAAAGUUGGGGGAGCAAAC